rnacentral:rRNA from 1 species
CGGCAGUCUACCAUGCAAGUCGAACGGCAGCACAGAGGAGCUUGCUCCUUGGGUGGCGAGUGGCGGACGGGUGAGGAAUACGUCGGAAUCUGCCUAUUUGUGGGGGAUAACGUAGGGAAACUUACGCUAAUACCGCAUACGACCUACGGGUGAAAGCGGAGGACCUUCGGGCUUCGCGCAGAUAGAUGAGCCGACGUCGGAUUAGCUAGUUGGCGGGGUAAAGGCCCACCAAGGCGACGAUCCGUAGCUGGUCUGAGAGGAUGAUCAGCCACACUGGAACUGAGACACGGUCCAGACUCCUACGGGAGGCAGCAGUGGGGAAUAUUGGACAAUGGGCGCAAGCCUGAUCCAGCCAUGCCGCGUGUGUGAAGAAGGCCUUCGGGUUGUAAAGCACUUUUGUCCGGAAAGAAAAGCACUGGGUUAAUACCCUGGUGUCAUGACGGUACCGGAAGAAUAAGCACCGGCUAACUUCGUGCCAGCAGCCGCGGUAAUACGAAGGGUGCAAGCGUUACUCGGAAUUACUGGGCGUAAAGCGUGCGUAGGCGGUUUGUUAAGUCUGAUGUGAAAGCCCUGGGCUCAACCUGGGAAUGGCAUUGGAUACUGGCAACCUAGAAUGUGGUAGAGGGUGGCGGAAUUCCCGGUGUAGCAGUGAAAUGCGUAGAUAUCGGGAGGAACAUCCGUGGCGAAGGCGGCCACCUGGACCAACAUUGACGCUGAGGC